CCUACGGGAGGCAGCAGUAGGGAAUAUUGGACAAUGGGCGAAAGCCUGAUCCAGCAACGCCGCGUGCGCGAUGACGGCCUUCGGGUUGUAAAGCGCUUUUAGAGGAGAUGAGAAAGGACAGUAUCCUCUGAAUAAGCCUCGGCGAACUACGUGCCAGCAGCCGCGGUAAAACGUAGGAGGCUAGCGUUAUUCGGAUUUAUUGGGCGUAAAGCGCGUGCAGGCGGUCUGACAAGUUGGAUGUGAAAGCUCCUGGCUCAACUGGGAGACGUCGUUCAAAACUGUCGGACUAGAGAAUGGGAGAGGGAGGUGGAAUUCCGGGUGUAGUGGUGAAAUGCGUAGAUAUCCGGAGGAACACCAGUGGCGAAAGCGGCCUCCUAGACCAUUUCUGACGCUAAGACGCGAAAGCUAGGGUAGCAAACGGGAUUAGAGACCCCGGUAGUCCUAGCCGUAAACGAUGUAGACUUGGCGUUGGCGGAGUUAAAUCUGCCAGUGCCGGAGCUAACGCGUUAAGUCUACCGCCUGGGGAUUACGA
rnacentral:rRNA from 1 species